AUACAAAUAAUAUAAAUGAUUUAUAUUAGUUAAUAAUAAAUUGAAAUUUAUUAAUAAAAUAUAAUAUUUAUAAGGUGAAAUUUUAAAUAUUUAAUAUAUUAAUUAAAUGUUUAUGAUUUAUUAAAUUUAUUAAUAAACUAGGAUUAGAUACCCUAUUAUUUUAAAUGUAAAUAAAUAAUUCUAAAUUAGUAAUAGUUAUGUUCUUUAAAGUUAAAGAUUUUGGCGGUAUUUUAAUCUAAUCAGAGGAACCUGUUCUAUAAUUGAUAGUCCACGAUUUAUCUUACUUAAUUUAAAUAAUUUAUAUAUCAUCGUAGUUUGAAUAUUUUAAAAGAAUUUUAAUAUUCAUAAUUUUUUAUUUAAAAACAAAUCAGAUCAAGGUGUAGUUUAUAGUUAAGUAGAAAUGGGUUACAAUAAUUUAAAAUUUUGGAUUAAUAAUUUAAAAUUAUUAUGAAAUUGGAUUUGACUGUAAUUUGAAUUAAAUUAUUUAAAUGAUUUAAGCUCUAAAAUAUGCACAUAUCGCCCGUCGCUCUCAUAUAAAAUGAGAUAAGUCGUAACAAAGUAGAUGUAUUGGAAAA
rnacentral:rRNA from 1 species